UGCAUCUCUCGGAGUGCUUUGUGUAGUCAUCAGUCAUCGCUGUUGUUGCAUAUUCCCGUCAAUCUUCUGUGUCCUGCUACCUCCCUAGCCUGAAGAAAGCAUGCAGAUGAUGCCAUAAAACGACUGUAAAACUAAAUAUCUAGAGCUAUCCAUAGCUCAGCUCCCCUCAGGCAGCUUUCACCACUAGCUUUGGAAUGAAGAAGGGUCUCUGGGAUUGAAUCAGCCAUUCUCACCGCAAACUAAAACAGGAAACCCUCAGAAUCAGGGUCACCAGAUGAAGUUAUUACCCACAUAAGAUGGUUUUCUAUAGAAAGAGAGCUUCUAUUGACACUUACAAGCCAAAAAUACUAUAUAGAUCAAUUAGAACAUCAAAAUCAUGGGACUCGGAAGAGAUUUCUUGACACCCCUGGAUAACAUGGAAAUGGAAAAACUUUUCUUAUAAACCAACUUACUGCCAAUAGUGAGUGAAGCGAGCCCUGCUCUUCAGGGAUGUCCAGUCUGGAGCUGCUCAAGUGUCCCCAUGCAGCUGCUGCACCAUUGCCACCGCCGAUUCUUUCCCUGCAUUUGGUGCACACGCCUCAUGUCACAAACCAAGUGUGUGGAUUAACCGUUUCCCACGUUCUGUGUUUCACAGAGGUCCUGGAAUGUUUCCUUGUACUCUUCUUUUGGGGUAUAGAGAAUGCCUUAAAAAGCAGCGUCCCAAAUUUAAACACAUCGAACAGGAACUUCCGGAAUACUUUGCAACUUACCAGUUUGUAUGCUGCUAUACUAUAG
rnacentral:lncRNA from 1 species